ACCUCCAGCACCCCUGCCCCAGUCCCUCGAGGCUAGGAGGGGUUUUCUCUGUGGCAGAGGGGCUGGGUCCCAGGCUACACACACAGGCCCUGGCUGAGUGAUCCCCGCUUGUACCCAGGACUUGCCCUCAACUGAAGCCCUUCCCUCCUGUCCCCGGGCUUGGGUCCUGCUCCAUGAAGCCCCUGGACCCAGACGUGUGGGUGUGUUACCUGGUCAUUCCUGCCUAGCCUGGGGGUCAGGGCACAGGCCCAGAUAGGCUGGAGGGUGGCCAGCCAAGCCCACAUGCACAGAUGGCAAUGCCUACACCCAGACCAGCAGACUCCCCUACCUACAGUGGCCAAUGCCCAGCCUUGAGGCUGGGCUGAAGUGGCUGCCAAGUAGCUGUUCCUGGUGCGUCAACAGUGGCACCCACCCUCCCGCCCUGUCCUGGCUGGCCUCUGAGGGGCAGGGGUCCAGUGGGCCUCGUGGCCCCGUCCCCACCCACUCAGCCUGAUUCUUAAUGACGUCAGGCUGACUGCACACCCGUGGGCAGCGGCCAGUUCCCAGCCUGAUGCUGGCAACUGAGCUGGGGUCUGGGCAGAGACUGGAGGCCUGAGUUGGGAGGUGCCCACUCCUUAGCUGGGGGUCAGCCUGUGAAAGGAGGAAGGGCCGAGGUGGGGACCCUCCCCAUGGGAGACUGGGAUGGCUGGAACGAGGGGCACCACCAGGGCCCUGGCAUGUCUCAGGCAGGGCCGGCAGCGAAGGCUCAAGGCGCCGGUGCUGACCUCGCAGUCCUCUGCGGCCUCGCCUUGGUGCGCAGUGGGUGCUGCUGCCUAAUUAGGUUCUGCUGUGCUAGCCCGGCCCCGCUCCGGCAGACGUGUCCGGGCACAGCUCCUGGGCUCCUGCCGAGGCAGGAAGCGCAGGCCUGCUUGGAUCCCCAGCAGCAGCCGGUACGGCGGCUAGAGCAGUGCCUGCCUUUCGGGCUGUGUGGCCAAGGGGCCGUGGGGAUCCAGUCGCCCCGGAGAAGCUACCUGCAGAUGGCCGGCCUCAGCUAGUAAUCCAGGCCAGCUCCGCCUCUCACCUGCUGCCCCACCUCCGAGAGCCAAGGUCCCUCUGCGAUGGCACCUCGCCCGAGGACCCGGGCCCUGAUCUGGUCCCGGCCUCUGGCUGCGCCUGUGCGUGUAUGUGCGUGCUCAGUCGUGUCCGGCUCUGUGCGGCCCUGUGGACUGUAGCCCGCCAGGCUCCUCUGUCCAUGGGAUUUUGCAGGCAAGCAUCCUGGAGUGAGUUGCUAUUUCCUUCUUCAGGGGAUCUUCCCCACCCAGGGAUCAAACCCAUGUCUCCGGCAUCUCCUGCACUGGCAAGUGGAUUCCUUACCACUGAGCCCCCCUGGGAAGCCCUUGGGUGUACCGGCUCCUCCCCCAAAGCCUUGAUACUCCUGGGGUGGGGCGGGGGUGGGGUCGCCCUCCUGCCUGACUCCCACCAGGCUGCCCUGCACCCUGCCCUGGAGAGGGGGUAGGGCUGGACUGCCUUUCAGCCGCCUCCUGCCCUCCUGCCCCAGCAUUGACCUGGACGGCUGGACAGGCCUCACCCCACCAGCCCCGCGACCCCUGCCUCUUGAGGUGUGGUGAGGGGCAAGCCCAGACUCCAUCUGGGCAGGGGAAGGGGCAGGGGACCCCGGGCAGAGGGAUCUCAGUGCAGCCCCUCCCUGCCUCCUGCAGAUGGCCGGCCUCAGCUAGUAAUCCAGGCCAGCUCCGCCUCUCACCUGCUGCCCCACCUCCGAGAGCCAAGGUCCCUCUGCGAUGGCACCCUCGCCCGAGGACCCGGGCCCUGAUCUGGAGAGCAGACGGUCUUUCCUGAGCACCAACAUCGUGCCCGUGGGUGAGUGCGGUCUCCAGCCCGACAGUGACGUGGUUCUGGGCUCACCCAGCAGGUGUGAUGUCCUGGUCCCACCCGAGGAAAGGGUCAGGCCUGCUCUUUUGGAAUGGUGAGGGGUGCUGUGGGCUGCCAGGAGUGGGACCUCUUCUGGGACAGGGGACGCAGCACAAGCAGACUUAUUAGGAAGCCAGCUUGGGGGCUGCCAGCUCUCUCUCCGGCUCCGUCUGGCUCGGUCAGAGCCCUGCGAGCCCUGCGCCAGCUUGGGGGGCCCUCAGCUGGGCUGGGCCUCCUAUGACCAUGGGCCGCGCCUCUAGUUCUGGCCCUUGGUGUGCGUUCCCUGGUGUCCUGUGGCCUGUUGGCUGGGACACCUGUGGCCUCGGAAGUGGGUUGUGUGGGUUGAAGGGCCUGCUGUCUUCUUGAUUUUAAAAGCCACGGGAGUUUAGUGUCCAGG
rnacentral:lncRNA from 1 species